GUAUGUUCACACACAUUUAUGCCAUUAUACUUGUACUCUUUUUUUUUUUCUCGAUGAGGACAAACUUCUCCGAUAGAGGAGGAGUGAUGUUCAGUCAAGGGUAUACGAGUAGCUGCGCUCCCCUGCUAGAACCUCCAAACAAGUUCUCCAUUCAUUUUCUGAAAGUACUUUUAAAAGUGAUUUCUAUCUGUGUUUUGCAUAGCCUCUGGUUCAGA
rnacentral:snRNA from 1 species